ensembl:lncRNA
AGAAACCACACACACAUGCGAAGCAGAAUUUCUUCAGUGUACUGAGUUGUGGUGACAUUAAAUGGGUUAUUCCCGCAUACCUGAUGCUUCAUAGCGUGUGUAUCAAACGUUAAAUUCUCAUAACAGAAAGAAGAGCUAGCAGUAGCAACUCAUUUUGACAUUUUCCUUUUCUGUUGUUCUCUGGUUACUGUGGAGGUAGUCUGACAGUUCAUCCACCUGCCUCAUCUGAAGCUUUCUUCGAUAGCUCGUUUUGUCUGUGGACACAUGCAGCACCAAGACUUGCCUUUUCAGGCACAAAGGUCACACUGAUGAAUUCCAGAAAUCUUUUGCCUCUUCAGUUAUUGAGCGAGUUACAAGGGUUAAAUGUAAUAUUGAAAAAAACAAUCGUCUAGUUUUUGUUUCCUCAAUCUACAUACACUGCUUCAACACACUUCCACCAGGCUGGUUCAACUCGUCCUCAAAAGCAUAUUUCUUAAGCUUCUAAAACAUACCAGAAUAUAAUAUUAAUCCUGCAAGGAAAAGGAACGCUGUGAUUUGUUUUUACAACCACAUUUGUAUAUGAGUGUGUAUGAGACCUCCUUCUGCACAUGCUCAGACUUGAGAGUCCUUGCAUACAAACCACAUCCUGAUUCACUCAAGAUAAAAGAUCUGCUGUAGGUUUGAGGAUUUUACCAAAUCAGCUCACCUGUUCAAACAGAUCACUUCAAACUCCUAGACAAACCAUGGAUUUUGAGAACAGCAUAGAAGGAUGUAAACACUGCAACAAGAAUUGCAAUAACAAUUGCCAAUGUCAUUGUCAUACAAUAACCCAAAGUCCUAAACCUAAGCAAAGGACUGAGGAGAAGACGUGUGAAGGGCCUUCAAAAGAGUGCGGCUCCUGUGAUUUCAUCCCCUGUGAUUGUGACUCCUGUGACUGCGGCUCCUGUGACUGCAGCUCCUGUGAUUAUGGCCCCUGUGAUUGUGACUCCUGUGACUGUGGCUCUUGUGACUGUGGCUCCUGUGAUUGCGACUCCUGUGAUGGUGGCGCCGGUGAUGGUGGCUCAUAUCAUUGCGGCUCCUGUCAUUGUGGCCCCUGUGAUUGUGGCCCUUGUGAUUGCGGCUCCUGUGAUUGUGGCUCCUGUGAUUGCGGCUCCUGUAUUAUUCAGUGAAUGUUUGCAGGAUGUUGGUCAGACAGAAUACGGUGACAUGCCAAUCAGCUAAUCAACUCAAAACACCUGCAAAGGUUUCCUGAGCCUUCAAAAUGGUCUCUCAGUUUAGUUCACUAGGCUACACAAUCAUGGGGAAGACUGCUGAUCUGACAGUUGU